rnacentral:tRNA from 5 species
UAUUGUUAAGUGAAUGGUUUACAUAGAUUUUUGAAAUCUACUUAAUAAGUUCAAUUCUUAUAAUAAUAA